rnacentral:tRNA from 1 species
CCUGGUGGCUCAGAGGUUAAAGCAUCUGCUUGCAAUGCAGAAGACCUGGGUUCGAUUCCUGGGUCAGGA